rnacentral:miRNA from 1 species
AAGUUCCUUAAAAAGUUCCUUACUUCAUGUUUCAUUGACCAAUCAGAUUGCUCAAAACUAAAAUAUAAAAUUUGAUUGGUCAAUGAAACAGGAACUUAGGAACUUUUUAAGGAACU